GCCGAAGUGGCGGAAUUGGCAGACGCAGGGGACUCAAAAUCCCCCGCUCGCAAGGGCGUGCGGGUUCGACUCCCGCCUUCGGCA
rnacentral:tRNA from 1 species